rnacentral:misc_RNA from 1 species
AUUAUGAAAGACCGUUAAUUGAAAAUUUUUAAUUAAUAAAAUCAUAACAAAUAACAGAAAUAACAUUACAAAAUUACAUACUUGCAGUUGUUUACAGACAAAUGUAAAUAUGUGUAAGUGUACAUACAUAGAAAUAAACUGAUAUUGUGUAAUAAACAUAUUAAGCAAAAAAAAAACUUAAUUAUUUCUACAAUAAAAACAAAGAAAAAACGUUUAGCAUAUGAAGUAACGGGUAAAUGCAAUUAAUUAAAAAUAAUCAUUAUAGUUUAUUGUGCGUGUGUGUGUAUUUUAGGCAUAUCUGCAUACGUGAAAUAAUUAUUAAAGUACAUAAAUAUACAUAAUUAAUGAAAAACAUGAGUUGAAAUGCAUUGAAAAAUAUUUCGCAUUUUACACUCCAACAAGCGAAAGGUCACAAAAAAAAAAAUAAAAUAUAAAAGUAUAAUAUUCAGAGAAAUAUAUGUUUAAUAUAUUCUAAGUCUUUGAACUGUUGAACUAUUAAUUUAAAAAAAAUAAAAUAAAAAAUAAAAAAAUUAAUAAUAAUAAUAAUAACUUAAAAUAAACGAUUUAGCUGAGAGGCGUGCCAUAAGUGACGCUAUGCAGGGUACAGUGCAACGGAGUGUGUCUAAUUUUUAAACUUUUUAUUGUACAUUUUAAGCCUAGACUAACGUAAUUUUACUCGAAAUAAACGACCGUCCUCUUUACAUUACAAAAUACAAGUAAAAUAAAAAAAAAAUAAAUCCAUAGAGAAAAUAUAUAUCAUAAGGCAAUUUAGAACUCUACAGUUAAUAUAGUAAAGCAAAGGAAAAACUAAGUUUUUCAACCAACUUUUAAAACGGCUGCGUAUGUAUGUGUACUUUUAAAAUAAAUAAAUCUAAGACUAAAUAAAAAAAUAUUUGAUAACAAAAUUCAAAAAAUUAUCUCUAAAGCGUGCAAAAACAUUAGACUGAAAUGUAUAAAUGUGACUCACACUUGAAUAAUAAACAAACAAACAAAAAAAAAAAAACACGCCAAGUCGGGGCAUAUUGGAGUACUUACCAAGUCAUAAAAUACAUUCAACUAUUAAUAAAAUUAUUAAACACAGCAGAAAGUGACAAAUAAACGAGAAUUUAAUUGCCACCAAGUGUUAAAAUGCAGAGUAGCAACAAAGAGCAGAAUGACUUACGAAAUGAAAACAAAAGCAAAUUAUUAUAAACAAUUAUGUGAAUUGUAUAAUAACAAAGUGAGGCAACAAAAAACGAAAACAAAAACAAAUGCAAAAGCUGGAAAAACAACUGAAAUGAUAUACAAUUUGGGAAUAAUAUGAAAAGCAAGCAGAAAAGCAUAAACCCACACACAUACACACACACAAAUGCAAACACACACAUACAUCCGCACUAAGAUUUUUAUGCAAAUCCCAAGAACGCACUCAAUUAAAUGCCUGAGAAAAUACGCUGAACGUACCUAAUUAAAAUACACAACCGUAUAUACUAGAGGCUUAUACAAGUUUUUACCUACGUGUACACAUGUGUGUGUAUAAAUAUGAAAAGUUAGUAUGAAUAUAUAUAUGAAUGCCAAGGAAAGAGAAUAGAGCAGCAGACAAGAGUGAAAAGUAUAAGAAACUGCAACUCAGUUAAACAAACUCUGAGGGAGAAGAAGUGUUAAGCACGCACGCCCACGCACAUACUUACUACAGCAUUCUCCUUUUCAUCACAAUACCGACUUCUCCACCCCCAUCUACACACCCCCGGCGCUAUUUCACGGACACAUUAAGAAAAUAAAUGCCGAGCAUAGCAAAAGAGGAGAUUGUUUGUUGUGAGCUAGCUGUCAGCGGCAGUUGCAGUCGCAGCAGCAGCGUCCACUAAUUAGUACGUCAAAGUGGUAGGACAACAAGCGAAAAAAAAAUAAAAAAAAUUAACAAGAAAAGCUAAAGGAUAGUGAGCAAUUAAAACUCCAGGCGAAAAAGUGUAGAGCAAAUCAAACAUAUAAAAAUAAACAAAUACGUUAAAUCGAGUAUAAUCAGCAGCAUGAAUAAAGGCGUGAAGUAAUAACAUUAAAUAAAUAUCAAAAUAUCAAUUAGUAGAAAAUUGAAUAAACAAAUACGAACACACACGUGCAAUAAUAGGCAAGAGACGGUGGCACAAAAAGUACACACGAACUAAAAUAUACGCGCGCUUUGACGUCAGCAGUGGUAGUGGCAGUGUUAGUGUCAGCAGUAGCGCCGAUCAUCUGGUACAGUUCGAUCGAUGUGGCAAGCAGCCUAGGCAGCAGCGCAGUAAGCAUAACCGCGAGUGCGACUGCAACCGUAAAGGUAGCAGCAACGCCAUCGUCUCACUCGUUCAAUAGCCAAUGCAUCAGAAAUCGAGGAUUUUUGAUUUUGUUCCUUCUCCACCAUCACCACAACCACAACCAAUACCACCAAAACCACCAAUACCAUUACAACCACAAAUACCACCAACAAAAUAAUAACCAUCGCUACCACCAACACCAUUCACAACGAUGGCUACCAUAAAUUCGGUACCGAAGAGUAUACACUUGCCAUUAACGAGCUUGUCGUCGCCUCGUGUUUUAAUGUGUAGUGCCUCAGUCGGCACCGAAGGUUCCGUCACACUACAAUUGAGAGACUCGUCCGAUUCCAAUCAGUCGCCGACGCAAACUUCUUUAGAAAAUGCCUUGACCAUUGGCUAUCCCGAUCCGGAGAUGUUGGCCGACGUAUUCGGUUCACUGCAGACAGCCUCUUUCAAAAAUCACAGCAGUGCGUUAGUCUCAGCGUCACCCACAACAACAACAACAAUAACAGCAAAUCAUAGUAGUAGCAGCAGCAAUUCCAAUAACAAAACCGCAAUAAACAACAGCAACAAUACAAACAGCACGACGUGUAGUAGCAUUAGCAACAACACCUCUGCCCCCUCCCCCGCACCAGCUAGCAAAAUCUCAAUAAGUCGUCGUAAUCAAACUACAUCGACAACAGCCACGUCCACCCCAGCGUCCGCACCGGCCAAUGCGUCGACAACAACAGCGACAGCAACAGCAACGGCAACAGCGACAGCGACAGCUGCACACACGUCGAACAAAGCAGGCGUGCAAACAGUGUCCACAGCAACAAAUACCACCAACAAAACGACCAGCAGUUACGUGAAAAAUUGUCUCAUACGCAGCAGCAGUUGCAGCAACACCAACAACGUCACUUCGCUGGCACAGAUAAUGAGCAAUAGCAGCACCAGCAGCUCCUCAUCGCUUCUGAAUCACAGCAAUACGAAUAGCAACAGCAAUUGUAGCAGUAACAGCAACUUUAGCUCGUCAAGCAGCAGCAACGAUAGCAUCGUCAGUGUUAACAGCAAUACCAGUGGUGGUGGCGGUGGCGGCGGCAGCAGCGGCGGUGGUGUGCUGAAAAGUGCGACUAGCAGUAAGGGUGCCGCAACGGGUGGUGCGUCAAGUGCGACGUUGAAAAAGAAUCGUGCCAAAUUGUCCUCACCAACACGGCAUGGGCCGCAACAGUGUCAGAUUUGUAGUAAAAUCUUUGGAAAUGCGUCAGCGUUGGCAAAACAUAAACUGACGCACAGCGACGAGCGGAAAUACGUGUGUGCGAUGUGUUCAAAGGCAUUUAAGCGACAAGAUCACUUAAAUGGCCACAUGAUGACACAUCGCAAUAAGAAACCUUACGAAUGCAAAGCUGAAGGUUGCGGCAAAUCAUAUUGCGAUGCACGUUCCCUGCGACGCCACACUGAAAACCAUCAUUCGGGUAUUAUAACGCCACAAAAUCAAACACUCUCACCAACCUCGGGUACACCGAAUGGCCUAAGUCUUUCACCGGCCACAGCAAGUGGUGAUGCCAGUUCGCCGGAUGGCGCAACUUGUAUACGUACAUACAUUUCCACUGGUGGUACUGUUGUUGAUGCGGCCACCGGCAUUACACUUACGGAGGAACAAAUAAAAGCAAUAAAUUUGCCGUUGAAAACAGGCGUCACUUUGCUUUCACCCACAUCAACAUCGUCGGCAUCAUCGGCCAGCGGUGUAUCGCUACCCGCCUCAUCACCUACAAUUGCCCUCACCGAGACAAGUCUGGUGGAUGCCGGCGAAGGUCUAACGCGUGAACAAUUAGAUUUGAUAAGUAAAAUUAUGCAACAGACGAAACAGACCAGUGCACAGGUGACAGUGUCGUCGCCCACAAGCGUGAAUUCAUACAAAGUGGACACGAAUCCCUCGUCGGCAGCACUUGGCCUGAUGGGUCAGCAACAUGGAACGAGUGGCACAGCGAGCAGGCCGCGUACAUGGAAUAUGCAAUUGUUAAACACCGCACAGAACGUAUCCAUUUCUGUUGACGAGACUAAUUCCGAUACAGCGUCCAGCACAGCAACAUCGCCCAUCGAAGCCAAGGAGGAGGAGAUAAAUCAGCAAUUUGUGACGGCGAUAAAUCCUCAUCUACUGAAUAUCGUCAAGAUGGAUCAGAAGCAAGUUGAAUGUAAUUUGUGUCAUCGUAAGUUCAAGAAUAUACCCGCACUCAAUGGGCAUAUGCGACUCCAUGGUGGUUAUUUCAAGAAAGACCCCGAAACUAAAAAGAACGAAAAGAAAGAGCCCAGCGGACCGCCGCUACAGACAGCCAGUAUUGGCGUACGCGCAUUAAUCGAGGAGAAAAUCAUUAGCAAACGCAAAGAUAUGAACAAGGGUGCCUUCGUAGUUCCUGCACCACCCAGUAGUGUAUCCAGCACAUCCACAAUCCGCCGAUCGAUUAGCGAUCUAGAAAGUUUCCUUAGUCCCAAAUCACACAACAAUAACAACAACAACAACAACAACAAUAACAACAACAACAACAACAACAAUAGUAGUAGCAAUGGCAGUAACAGCAACUCUACAAAUCAGAGUUCGUCCACCGCCUCAACAACAACAGCCAUGCUACCAUCUGCUGCAACAAUCAAAAACUAUAAUGGUGGGACAUUGGGCUUGCAGCAAAUCGGAAUGUCUCACGGUAUCGAGAUAUUCAGUACGAAACAACAAGACAAGAAUACUGGUAGUGCGGGCCACGGUAUGGGUCUGGGCUUGAGUGCAGCUCUGCAAGCCAACAAUGCAACGAUGAAUACGUCAACGAUGAAAUCAACAGCAACGACAACAAUUACAACGACUACUAAGGGCACCUCUACCGAUCCAAAAGACUCUACGCUCAUUGAAUUAUUGAAGCGUGGAACGCGCAUAGCCGUCACUGCCAAGAAGCCAAUAAAUAGUACAAACACAAUCACAAAUAUGGGAGGUAGCAGCAGUAAUAAUGGCAAUGGCAAUGGCAAUGGCAACGGCAAUGGCAACGGCGGAUCCCGUCAGAUAAUCACAAACAACAAUCGCACUGUGAUUAUACCGUCCGACGUACAGAUCUUACCCACCCGCAAGUCGAGCGCAUCGAAUUCGUCGCGAUCCGCUGCGCCCGCCAGUCUAGCUGACACUAUGCCACUUUCGCUUACUAUAGCGCAGAAUGGCACUGGAGGCAGAGGUAUAGGUGGCGACGUAUAUACCGUUACUUAUAGCAGUGACGGGACGGGGUUCUUUGAGGACGCCGACGUGUAUAAUGUCGCCGAUACGGAUAUGCUGUUGCAGACGGUGGAUUCGAUGCAAUUACUCAAUGAUGACUCGCAACAAUUGAAAAGUGAACAUUCCGAACAGUUUGGCACUGUGACUGGUAUAGGGAUUCAGGCCGAGGGCGAUCAAAAUGACAAUAAUGGUAAUUGCAUACAAGCGGAAUACUUGAAAUUACAAGCCGAAGGUAGUAUGAAUGCCAUGCCCACCACCACUUUACCCACUUUCCAACAAUUUCAUUCCAAAGAGUUAAUCAUGCAAAACAGUGCCCAGAUUCAGGCUGUGACUAGCAUGCGAAACCAAACGCAUCAACUGGGUACAAUAUCCUCACCGAUAAAUUCCCCGCUCGCCUAUCCUACGCCACCUUCCAGCCAUGAAAACAUGACACAGUCCUCGCCAUAUGUAGACGAUGGACAACAGUAUGUAGAAGUGACGAACAAUUUUUUCAAUGAUAAAUGCUCCGCGGAUUUCCUAACGCAGUCAGCCACUGAGGUGACAUUCUUCAAGAACAACGACACCCAGAACGAACUCACAGAUACCGAAAAGAUAUUGAAGUUGAAGACCGUUUUGGAGGAGAGCGCAUUUGAUGGUUCCAUUAAGGUUGAAGACUUACUGAACGGUACACAAGAUGACGACACCGAAUGUGAUUUGCGCGACUUUGCUGAGUCCAAUCUCGCCUUUUUGGACGAGGACCAGGAGUUUAUGAAUGACUCGCGUAAUGCAACAUCGCCUUUGCCUGAAUCAUUUUUCACCGGCAGUAUCGGCACCGAUGACGAAGUGAAAGAGGUACUGCGUGAUGUAUUGCCCGACGAGAAUAUCAAUCUGCCGUGCGAAGAACAGUCGGCUGAAAAUAUGAUAGAUUUGUAUUACUUGCCCGGUUUGGGUCUGCAAUCACAAAUGAUGCCGAACUCGGAUGAUCCGCUGCUGUCCUCCUCGCCGCGUGAUUUCGGACAACAGAGAGCUCAAGUCAUACAGACCACACAGCAAGUACAAGCCCACCAACAACAACAGCAGCAGCAACAGCAGCAAACAGGAACACACACGCAGCAGCACAUACAGGAGACGGCGCAGCAGUUACUAUUCGCCCAGCAAAUCGAGCAACAAAUGCAACAACAUCAGCAACAAAUGCCAACAGGUGGCAAUUGUGUCAAUAGCAAUCAGUUGGCAAUCGCAAUUCAGCAAGCUGCUGAAACCAAUGCCACCCUGCAGUAUAACCUACAAAACCUAGCACAAGUACAAAACCAACAACAAUAUAUUGACAUCAAUACACCGAUCCAGCAUAUAGCCACAAUGGAUAGCGGCAUGCUGCAGCAACAGUUGGUAUUCACAGGCUCGACAGACAAACAGGAGAUCCACAUAAAUGGACAGCAAGUCGAUGUGGGUCUGCUCUCUGCUGGCGGCAGCAUUCAAACAGACACAAACAUUUACUUCGCCAGCAACUCCAGUAAUUCCACCAGCUCCUUGACCACAUUGCAACAGAAUGGCCAUCAAAUAAGUGCUUGCAAUAUUACAAAUGCUUCGAGCAGAUGCCUACCACCUGUCGCAUCCACGGUCAUUUCAACCCUGCAACCGCUCUCCAAUCAAACUAAUUCCAUAUUGAAACGGCGUUUGCGACCGCAAAAUCCCAAUGAUUGCAGUAAUUCACACAGCUACGCUAAGUAUCAUCCGCUUUCGCCGUACCGCUCAAAGCUGCGAAAGCCGUCACGCACACACUACACUCCUGCGCCAAUACUCAAUCCCGAACGCAAGGGUGUCGGGCUGUACUGCACUGUACGUAAACAACUCAACACAGGACUGCUCGGUUUCGAUAGUUUCAACGAUGACUACGACGAUGCGGUCGGGUUGGUGGACUUUUCGGAUGAAUCUAAAGUCAAUUUGGGUUCAGCUUAUCAAGCGCAAUUGCCACCCUGCCGAGAGCGUAUACAUAGUGCAGGUAGUGACGCCGCAACCGAUGGUGAAUUGUAUAAAAUGAAGUCUUGUUUUGAUGUCGAGGAGCCCGUGGGUGCGGAACAAAUGUGGGAUCCAACUGUACAAACGGACGAGAGAAUUUUAAUGCGCUACAUUGACCUGAGCAAAUCAUCGGCCGUGCCUUUGGGCAGUCACUCGGAAGAGGUGGCAUUGCAAACACUGCUCAAAGCACGUGGCAACAUGGCGGCAGCGGUACUUACGCUAUUGCAAACGCAAUCGAAUGCAUUCCAAAUGAAAUGGUCCGCAGCGGAAUUGGAGGUGUUCCUAAAGGGUUUGGAACGUCAUGGUAAAGACUUUGGACGCAUUUCGCUAGAGUUGGGUACGAAGACAACGGGCGACUGUGUGCAAAUGUAUUACUUUUGGAAGAAGCUUUGUGUUGACUACAAAGUGUCGCAUCUGAAGACCGAAACGCCACAGCCGCCACCGGCGAACGAUCCAAAGCCAUACGUAUGUGAAGUACCGGAUUGCUCUGCGAGCUUUACCUCCAAAGCUGCCCUGCAUGGCCACACACGCAUACAUACGUACGGUCGAAAUGCCAGUAGCCAUCAAAAUAGCAUCAACAACAACAGCAAUAAUAAUAAUAACAAUAAUAGUAAUCAUAACCAUCACAAUUACAACAAUAACGCUUCAGGCAACAACACUAAUACAAAUAGCACCAUAAUAAGCGGCUCAGCAGGCGUCGCUCAACAGACCACCGGCGUUGGUACAUCGCAAACGCAUACGCAAGCGAGCGGCGGUGGUGCCAACGGUGUAUUACUUAAAGACGCUAGUCAAAGCGGCGCGGGCACUGCUGCUAGCAGCACCACCAACAAGGAUAUCGAUUUCCCCUGCAAGGUGUGCGGCAAAGUCAAAACCCACAAGUUGAAUUGCGAGUUGAUACUCCAAUCCACCAACACCACCACCACCACCACAACCACCACCACCACCACCAACAACAACUACACGCUGUUGUAUAACGCCGCGCACGCGCAAGCGCGCCCCUGUUGAAAGUGCUAGCUCGCUCACUGAAGCAGCAGCCGUCACUGCAACCGGCAUGUGUCCUUCAGCGCCACACUCAGCCAAAGCGUAAAAUUAGUUUUUAAUAAAGUUAAAAGUAGAAGCGCCCACAUGAAAACGCAUCGCGUACAGGAGCAACAGCAGCAACAACAACAGCAACAACAACAACAACAACAGCAG